UACGUAGGGUGCAAGCGUUAAUCGGAAUUACUGGGCGUAAAGCGUGCGCAGGCGGUUUUGUAAGUCAGAUGUGAAAUCCCCGGGCUUAACCUGGGAACUGCGUUUGAAACUACAAGGCUAGAGUGUGGCAGAGGGGGUGGAAUUCCGACGUGUAGCAGUGAAAUGCGUAGAGAUGUGGAGGAACACCGAUGGCGAAGGCAGCCCCCUGGGUUAACACUGACGCUCAGGCACGAAAGCGUGGGGAGCAAACAGG
rnacentral:rRNA from 1 species